AACACUUUUAUUAAGCAACACAAAUUGUUAACCAAUAGUCAUACAUCUGCAUUUUUUCUAAAGAUACUACAACACAAUCUUCUCAUUUCCCAAUAACUAUCGACCAUACCAUAUUGACACCCACUUCAUUGAGUUUAAGAAGGCCCAUUGCUGAUAUUACACCAUCAAUAUCUAAUCAAACCGUGAUUAACCGAGUUAUUGCAAAAGGAAGGGCACUAAGUGCUAAGUUUGAA
rnacentral:lncRNA from 1 species